rnacentral:lncRNA from 1 species
CUGCGACUUAGCUCCGCCCGCCGCCUGCGCCGAUCUCCAUUCCGUGAGCAGAGCAGAGUCAACUUCCGCCGAAUCUGCUCACCAUUCAAUCCAAUCCUCUUUCUCAUCUCUCUCUCCGCAUCCUCGGUGGUGAGCAUCCAUUCAAUCCAAUCCUCUUUCUCAUCUCUCUCUCCGCAUCCUCGGUGGUGAGCAUCCAUUCAAUCCAAUCCUCUUUCUCAUCUCUCUCUCUCUCCGCAUCCUCGGUGGUGAGCAUCCAUUCAAUCCAAUCCUCUUCCUCAUCUCUCUCUACCCUCACACUUUCUUCUCCAAUUUUUUGCUUGCGUUAACCCUAAUAACUUCUCUUCUAGAUCUGUGGAUCUGCAACCUUUUUUCCUCUUAAUUUACCGCCUUAACCUUGAUACGUACUAAUAACGAUUUGUUUGUUUGUACCCCAAUAAUCCAUGUCCAACUAUCUGUCCCUGAUUGGUUAUGAAGUAGCAGAAUGUACAUGUGUUUUGCCAUACAGUACAAUCAAGCUUGCAAACUAGAGCUUAAGAAUGCCUCAAUGAUUUAAUUAAAGAAAUGCUUUCACACAUCAUCAAGUUAUAAAAAAAAAAGAUUACUACUACUGCUUUUUAGAAGUAUUAACUAUUCCUUUUUCUGCUACCGUUGCAGCUUCUAUAUGAAAUGACUGACGGUGAGGACAUCCAGCGUCUUGCGUCUUGUAUGUGAUAAUGGCACUGGAGUGGUCAAGGUCAGAUUUUCUUUUUUUACUCUUAAGCCUUAACUAGUGGAGUAACUGCUAUGUAUGCCCCAUCUCCUGCAAAAAAAAUUUUCUGAAUAUGCCGCCCUUUUGCAUAUUUGAUCAUGUAGGCUAGUUUCAUUGGGGAUGAUUUGUUGUUGGGUAUUUUUAUCAGAGCUAUGUAGAUUGAGUAUGACAAUUGGGUAUUUUUAUCAGAGCUAUGUAGAUUACUUAUUUGUGUCUUUUUCUCCAAUCUGCUUCACCAAGAAUGGAGUUAGGGAGGUAGAGCCAGAGGCAAGGAGUAGGAGGGAAAGGGGAUGGUGCCUCUUCUUGGCUGCUUCAGUUCUUUUUUCCUCUCGGCCACAAGCAAAUCAGCCAAGACUCUGUUUUAGAUGGUAUGAAUUUACAGUCCCAGCAUGUGCAAGUUGGUUUUGAUUAUUUGAUAUCUUUGUUAGGAACUAUAUCGCUUAGUUAAUUAUAGUAAAGCACCUUGGAUGAUGGAAGGUCACCUUUAUUUUAUCACAGGACAUUUUAUUUUCCAAGCAACCAGGCAAUAGAUUUCUGGAGUUAAAAACUAACAUUUUGUUAUCGAACAACAAAAUGCUGGCUCUUGGUUCUUUCUAUAAUUUUGUGAUAUCAUGUAGCUGGUUUUCCAUUCUCUAUUCUUCAGACGUGUUGACAUACAAUAUACUUUCUCUUUUUUUAAAUAUAAUGGGGAGAAUUUCAUUAAUAAAUGAAAUUGCACUUGACCUCUGAUAUAUUUUGUCAAUGGAAUUCAGAAUUUGCAGUAGUUGGUUCAUAAGGAGAGCUUAUUAACUCUGUAUCUAAGUUGGAUUGCUCAAUGAUUAGGCGCCGAAGGCCACGGUGAGGCAGGGUUCGACAGAGGGAUAGCCGUGACACUGUAGAUGAGGGCACCAGAGGCUGCCAUUACGCCGUCGAGGAGGUGGGGGAUGCUUCCAUGGUUUUUCUCGCACCGGUGGGCGAGGCAGCCGUGAUAUCUCUCCUGGAUCUCAGUAAGCAAGCAAGCACGUUCCCAGGGCUAUCGAGGAGGCAGUCACAAUGACCCUGAUGGUCUUCAGCGAGGCAUAUAUGAAUUCCUUUGUCGCAGGUGGCGAUGCAGUCCCGACGCUAAUCAUGUUGAUGGGCGAGGUGGUCAAGGCCUCUCUCCUUUACGAGGUGGGCUAAUCGUGUCAGUUUUUUUUCUACAUCUUUGUGGUAGAAACUAAGAAAUCAUAUUAUUUAGGUCAAAGAAAUAUAAUCUUGUAAUCUGAACAUCUAAAGAUAUGUAAUCUGCAUAUGAAGAUUACAACACUGAAGCAAAUUACUACUGACGAGUCAUAUGUUUUGUCAGUUGCUAACAUUUGUAUUUUAUCAGCAAUAAGACUGCAUCACCUCAUAAUUUUAGUGAAUAUUACUUAUUUUUGUUAGUUUUGUCUGAAAAAGUUAUGUCAUGUCAGCUUUGUGAAUACUACUUAUUUUUGUCAUGUUACUUUUGUCUGAAAAAGUAUUGUUUCUUUUUGUAUUUUUGAUUUUGUGUUUGUUUUUAUCCAAAAAAUUUACUUUGUCAGAAAUG